rnacentral:rRNA from 1 species
UCGAGGAUCUUUGGCAAUGGGCGCAAGCCUGACCAAGCGACGCCGCGUGUGCGAUGAAGGCCUUCGGGUUGUAAAGCACUGUCGAGGGGGAGGAAGCCGAAAGGUUGACCUAUCCCUGGAGGAAGGACGGGCUAAGUUCGUGCCAGCAGCCGCGGUAAGACGAACCGUCCAAACGUUGUUCGGAAUCACUGGGCUUAAAGGGCGCGUAGGCGGGUUGGCAAGUCUGUGGUGAAAUCCUCCAGCUUAACUGGAGAAGUGCCAUGGAUACUGCUGACCUCGAGGAGGGUAGGGGCAUCUGGAACUGUCGGUGGAGCGGUGAAAUGCGUUGAUAUCGACAGGAACUCCGGUGGCGAAGGCGAGGUGCUGGACCCUUUCUGACGCUGAGGCGCGAAAGCCAGGGGAGCAAACGGGAUUAGAUACCCCCGUAGUCC